CUACGGGUCGCAGCAGGGAAGAAUAUUGUACAAUGGGGGCAACCCUGAUACAGCAACGCCGCGUGAAGGAAGAAGGCCUUCGGGUUGUAAACUUCUGUGACAGAGGACGAAGAAGAUGACGGUACUCUGAGAGGAAGCUCCGGCAAACUACGUGCCAGCAGCCGCGGUAAUACGUAGGGGGCGAGCGUUGUCCGGAAUCACUGGGCGUAAAGGGCGCGUAGGCGGCCUGUUAAGUUGGAUGUGAAAUCCCCGGGCUCAACCCGGGACCUGCAUUCAAAACUGGCGGGCUUGAGUAUGGUAGAGGAAAGUGGAAUUCCUAGUGUAGCGGUGGAAUGCGUAGAUAUUAGGAGGAACACCAGUGGCGAAGGCGACUUUCUGGGCCAAAACUGACGCUGAGGCGCGAAAGCGUGGGGAGCAAACAGGAUUAGAUACCCCCGUAGUC
rnacentral:rRNA from 1 species